AUAACAGGAUGAAUUUUUAUUUCACAUAUGUUUUUUCUGGCAUCUCUAAUGUUAGACCAGCUCUGCUGUGUCGAUGAAUACAACCUAUGACAAUUAUCUGAUA
rnacentral:snoRNA from 1 species